ensembl:lncRNA
AUGACCGAUUCUCUUUUUAUCCAUUCCUGUCUAGAUCUGUUCCUAUCCUCUGAGAACCAGGAAUCUAAACCAUCAAUGAGUUUCAUCUCAGCAGCUGCAAACUUGCACACCUGCCAACUAAAACCAAACCAAACCAAAGCAACCGAAAAUCUUCAGGUUACUGAGAUUCACGCGAUGUAUUACGUAUUCCGUGUGCUGUGUCCUCACCUAGAAGACCUUGCUCAAAGCCAAGGUCUUUGUGAACUAGCAAUUCAACAAGGAAUUUUAGAAGGGGGCCUGCAGUUGCACUGCCUGCAUUCCAGCUCUGAAUCUUUCUAUGUGUAUGUGUUUGGGGCCCUAAAUAAAAGAAUGGUGCCACCAUCCACCCAGCUGCCCAAAUCAGAAAUUAGGAGUUUCCAUGCAUUUUACUCAGGCCGCAAAUGUUCGCUGCACUCCUCUCUGAAGCCAGGCACAGGGCUAUAGAACACAGAAAACUUUGCA